rnacentral:rRNA from 1 species
GGUUAACGCUGGCGGCGUGCUUAACACAUGCAAGUCGAACGGUGAAGCCGGAGCUUGCUCUGGUGAAUUAGUGGCGAACGGGUGAGUAACACGUGAGUAACCUGCCCUUGACUCUGGGAUAACUGCGGGAAACUGUAGCUAAUACCGGAUACGACCCUCGGAGGCAUCUCCUGGGGGUGGAAAGAAUUUCGGUCAAGGAUGGACUCGCGGCCUAUCAGCUAGUUGGUGAGGUAAAGGCUCACCAAGGCGACGACGGGUAGCCGGCCUGAGAGGGUGACCGGCCACACUGGUACUGAGACACGGCCCAGACUCCUACGGGAGUCAGCAGUGGGGAAUAUUGCACAAUGGGCGCAAGCCUGAUGCAGCAACGCCGCGUGAGGGAUGACGGCCUUCGGGUUGUAAACCUCUUUUAGCAGGGAAGAAGCGAAAGUGACGGUACCUGCAGAAAAAGCACCGGCUAACUACGUGCCAGCCGCCGCUGUAA